rnacentral:rRNA from 1 species
UACGGAGGGUGCAAGCGUUAUCCGGAUUUACUGGGUUUAAAGGGUGUGUAGGCGGACUUUUAAGUCAGGGGUGAAAUCCCGAGGCUCAACCUCGGAACUGCCUUUGAUACUAUUGGUCUUGAAUCUUGUUGAGGUGGGCGGAACGGGUCAUGUAGCGGUGAAAUGCAUAGAUAUGACCCGGAACACCGAUUGCGAAGGCAGCCCGCUAAGCAAGGCAUUGACGCUGAGGCACGAAAGCGUGGGGAUCAAACAGG